rnacentral:rRNA from 1 species
GACGAACGCUGGCGGCGUGCCUAAUACAUGCAAGUCGAACGAGAGCGACCGGUGCUUGCACUGGUCAAUCUAGUGGCGAACGGGUGAGUAACACGUGGGUAACCUGCCCAUCAGAGGGGGAUAACAUUCGGAAACGGAUGCUAAAACCGCAUAGGUUCUUUAGUCGCAUGACUGAAGAAGGAAAAGAGGCUUCGGCUUCUGCUGAUGGAUGGACCCGCGGUGCAUUAGCUAGUUGGUGAGGUAACGGCUCACCAAGGCGAUGAUGCAUAGCCGACCUGAGAGGGUGAUCGGCCACAUUGGGACUGAGACACGGCCCAAACUCCUACGGGAGGCAGCAGUAGGGAAUCUUCCGCAAUGGACGCAAGUCUGACGGAGCAACGCCGCGUGAGUGAAGAAGGAUUUCGGUUCGUAAAACUCUGUUGUUAGAGAAGAACAGCGCAUAGAGUAACUGUUAUGCGGUGACGGAUCUAACCAGAAAGCCACG